ACCAGCAUCAAAUAAUAUAAAUAAUUAUUUUUUUAAUCACAAGGAGGUCAGAGAGAGGAAGCACUGUUAGACAGCACAUGGGUGAUUAUAUAUUCAGCAAAGCACUCCUCAGGAAGGAAGGGAAAAUGAAGACAUGAUGAAGAAUUUGUUGUUUGCAAAUCCACCCUUCAGGAACAGCUACAGGAAAUUUUCUAAACAGAAAGGAAAUCCUAAGGCUUGGAACUUCCCAAAGGAAAGUACUUGGGAUGGGUAGUCAGGGUAGAUAGGAGAAUCUCCUCUGUGUCGCUUUUAUAUAUAAGUUAAAGCACAACACUGGCCUGGGGGAGGGGGAGAUGCGCCUGUAGUCCUGGGGAUUCGGCUUAGGAGGCACUUGAACUACACCUCUAGCCCUUUUACAUACUGAUUCUUUUUGAAGUAGGGAGUUGCUUUAUGUCCUAGGUCAGCCUGGCCUGGGGUCCUCUUACCUAUAUACUGCUGUGUAUCGCUGGGGCUGACAGAUGUGCACCACUGAACCCAACUUCUAGUUGAGAUGGAGUCUAAGGAGUCUAGAUGGAGUCUUGACCAGCUGGCUUCAAAUUGUGAACCCCCUAUGUCUGCCUCUUAUGUACGAUUCCAGGCCUGAGCUGCCCUCCAGAGUUAAUCUUAUUUUUGAUGUGGGAGGGACUGAAACAAGAUUUCUCACUCUAUUGAUACCAGUAGAUUAGAAUAAGUAGCAUGUGCAUGUCAUAAGCUACCGCUAAUAAAAGGUAGAUCCUACCCCAUCUCCCAUCCAUAUUUAGAAAGUCACUCAAGGCAAGACAAGACAUAGGGGGAGGAACAGAAGAACAAAUACAAAAGCACAAUGCCCUUCCUUUCCAUGAAGAACUGAACUUAACAUCAAGUCCUGAUCCACUUAGAGUCCAUGCUGGGUGGAAAAUUUCCCUUUUCUGAAUGGGGGCCCUUCCCAACUAAACUGGGAAGAUGUAGGGGAUAGCUUUUCCUCUCUCCCACAGAUCAGCUCUCACCAUGUGUGGAUCUGUUCUACACGUUCACCUGUUUAUUGGCUGCUAUAUUUUAGAUCCCAAAGGGCUGAAUUCCUAUGGGAGCUCCUGGGAGAAGGUAGAGCCUUUAAGGGGUGGGCUAGUGACAGCUUUGCUCAUUAGGAGCUUGCCCUCCAAGGGGACUGUGGGUCCCUUCCUCUUCCUCUCUCUCCUCUCUGUGUUUCAGAUAAAAAAUGAGAUGUUCUGCUCCACCAGGAGCUCCAGCUGCCAUACUAACUUGCCAUGGGCCCUCAGGCAACCCAGCCAACCAAUCAGCCUGGAACUCUCAACCAGUACUACCCAAAUAAACCUUUCCUCCUGUAUGCUUAUCUCAGGACUUGUUAUAGACAGGAAGCUGGAGACACACUGUCUGGGGGUGCGAGCUCACAACAUGUUGGAUUCUCUGCAUUCACAGCAAGUCCUGGCAUCUCCUUACAUGCAUCUUGGUGACUUAGAUCUUUAUUUUUGUUGUUAGUGGUGGUCUUGGGGCUUGAACCUGGGUGCUAUCCCUGAGUGUUUUCACUCAAGGCUAGUGCUCUACCACUUUGAGCCACAGCACCACUUCAGGUUUUCUGGUGGUUAAUCCCUGCCUGGGAUGGCUUUGAACCACAAUUCUCCGUUUUCAGCCUCCUGGGUAGCUAGGAUUACCAAUGUGAACCAACAGUGCUCAGCUAAGAUCUUUAUUCUGUAAAUUUUGAAUCACUUGACCAAGUUCUACCUCCACAGAAGAAGUUGGUGGAUUGGGACUGGGAAUGUGGCUUAGUGGUAGAGUGCUUGCCUUGCAUGCAUGAAGCCCUGGGUUCAAUUCCUCAGCACCACAUAAAUAGAAAAGGCCAGAAGUGGCUCUGUGGCUCAAGUGGUAGAGUGCUAGCCUUGAGCAAAAAGAAGCCAGGGACAGUGCUCAGGCCCUGAGUCCAAGCCCCGGGAUUGGAAAAAAAUAAUAAAUUGGUGGUUUUAUUGGAAAUGAAUUGAAUUAAAUGCACAGAUAAAAUUGAAAACAGAAAAAAAAGACCUCUAUGAUACAAUCUUCUGAUCCCUGAACAUUUGUUUAUAACUUUUUAAGUGUUUCUUACUAAUAAGCUUUGACAAUCCCUCCUGUAGCUUCUCUACCUCCACCCAGUAGCAGAGACUGGACAGAGGGGCAUUCCCCAGAAGACUAUGACCUACCAGCCCGAAUUUCAGUUCCUGAUUGCACACCAGCCACCCCUCUUUUCCAACUGGACAUCAAUCUGCUCUAGGUGAGGCUCAGCAAGAAAUCACAUAGUUUACAGAAGCCACCACUCAAUACCAUGUGUGGGGCAAGACUGAAAGUUGAACUACCCCCUUCCUGGCCCUUCUCAGGUUUUGUCCUGGCGAGACGACAGCAGGCUAUGGGACAGAAGAACCUGGCCAGUGUGUGACCCGCGACUUAGGCAUGCCUUUAAGUCAGUCUCAGAUGGGUGAGAUGAAAGCAAUGAGUGAAGGGGUCUCAAGAGACCCUAGGAUGUGGGGCCACCCCAGACCCACCUCCUGUGGGCCAUAGGACCAGCUUCUACUCAUCACUGGCCCUUGUCAUCCCUGACCAGAUCCCGGCUCAGGGGCUGCUUUACGCCUUCAGGUGCUGUUAUCAGCUUGUUGGUUUACUAUAGCACAGGGAAGAGACAAACAGCGCAACCACCAAUGAAUCAAACUCACUGCCAUUCCCACCUCCAGGAGGUAGGGGGGAGGAGUAAGGAAGAGCUCAAAUCUGAAUUCUGACAACUUUCAAAGCACACAGUCCUCAGAAUCACUAAGAAAUUCUAGCAUUACACAGUGAGAGAGCAGCCGUUGGGUGAGA